CAACCUCACCUCAGGGGUCAGUGCUGCACAGAUGGGUUUGUUCUGAUACAUUAGUCAGAUUGAAAUCACAAGCAGGCUUCAUAAAUUCAUAUUCGGGGAGUAUGGACACGCCUUUUUGCAUAGUAACUAAUACCCGUAUCAACCCGCUCUGCCCUGGUGUCCUCCAAAAUUACAUUUCUUCAUACAUGAUUAAAUCUGAUUGGCUGCACUCUGCAUUUCCAUUGCGUUUGUCUGAAAUUACAGUCUGCAUUUAGCCGACCGAACAAACUCCAAGUCCUUGGUGAAAUCAGAGAUGGCAUGAAAUGUUAUUAAAGUGAUUGUGCAUUUUCUCUGACAAACACAUCAGUGUUUGUGGGCAUGGCUUUCGUGUGGCUGAUGAUGUGAGCAGAGACGGAGUGGGCGAGUGAAGAGACUGAUGGCAGGAGAGAGAGAGAGAGAGAGAGAGUCAGGGCAAUAAGAGACAUAAUGUGCCUGUGGCUUCACUGCCCCCCCACACACUCACUCCCCCAGCCUCGCUGCUUCUCUCUCUGCCCCAGGGCAGGUACGUUCAUCUGGUUUCCUGGCUCGGUCCCGAGACGCCCCCGUAGAUCCACGUUACUGUGGGUUUAUUAAAUCCUUCCCCCUACUGAGCUACUGUGUGUGACUGCAUGUUUUACUGUGUAUGUCUCUGUGUGUGUGUCUGUGUGAUUGUGUCUGUGCAUUUGCCAAAGGGCUCUCCUGUUGUUCUACAACAGAGUCAACAUCACAAAAUAAGGAAAUAUUGUUGCAACAUGCACUGCAGCAUUUUUACUUUUAAUUUUUUUGGAAAAUGUAUCCUCUUGUUCCAUAUAAAAUGACAUAUUUGCUUGUAUAUAAUUGUCCAUUGAUUCAACAGUUGGGGGGGUUGGAUUUAAAAAAAAUAUACAAUACAUACAUAUAUGUAGGCUAUAUAUAUUGUUGCAUCAUCUUCAGCAGCCUACAACUUUUAUCUAGGGUUCUCUUUAACUGUCAGUAUUUGUGCUCUUAGACCCUACUUCAUUUGCAUAUUUAAACAGUGCAUUUUUAAAUUGCAGCUAAAACACCCUUGUGAAUUUUCCCUUGAUGUGACCGUGUGUAAUUUUCCCACAUUUUGCUUCUUUUUUUAUUGUGUAACAUUGUGGCUCACAUGUCUUUAUAGAUGAAACAAGUCACCUGGGAAAGCGACAGCUGCCAGCAGUUUGAGGUGGCUUAGGAACAAUUUAACUUACAUGCAUUUUCAUCCAUGACCAUGAAUACUAAUUGUGAAAAACAACUUCCAAGGAAGCAAAAGUAGUAAAUCACUGGAGAUUAUCAUAGUGUCACAUUUUGAGGCCUACAAGCAGAGCAAACUUGCAUUUUUAUGUGUGAAAUGAACUUUCUUCAUAAGAUGACUGCAAUUGCAUAAUAUAAAUUCAUAGCAUGGCCUGCCAUAGUAAUUACUAUCAAACUGAUGUAAACUAAAUGAAACACAGGUUUUUAAGGUGAAGAAGAAGCAUAGAUUAAUGUUUUCUUGAGCUGAGUAAUUCAUUUUAGAUUGCACUGUUAGUUAUUUGCCUCAGAUGAUCACCAACCGGUUGUGCAUUAGGAUAGUUUACUUAUCAUUUUGUUUGCUAUUACAUCACUGCCUGCAAGGCAAGUCACUUUCACUUCUGACGAGGCCAUGUGGAGCUUGUAAAGAAGCCAUGGAUGGGAAAUAAAGUUGUCAGCAGGAGAUGUAAAGUGAUAGCUAACCAGAUGAGGAAAAGAAUUCAAUAACACUGGUACGAUUCCUUUAACGGUGUAAGUUGGCACCACAUCUUAGUUUCCCCUCACGUUAUUUCACACACACUGCUCCCACACAAAAUCUGCUGCAUGUGCAGACACUACCCUUGAUCUGUUGAAGCAAGAAAGUUCAAACUCUGCAACUUCUCAACUGUGACAAUAACCAACAGUGCAAUCUAAAAUGAAUUACUCAGCUCAAGAAAACAUUAAUCUGGGGGAUAGUUCGUCAAUAUAGCUCUUAAGCGAUUUGGUGUGCCAUCUCCUAAUGUUUUUUCAUAUGGAUCGUGCGGGAGACUUGUAACUCACACCAGAAUCAAUAUGACAUGCUAUGGGACAUGUUCUUUCUCAUGUAAUGUACAUAUACAUAUUUUAUGAGUUAAUGCAUCACUCGCCUGUCAUUAAUAAUGCAGGCCCACUAAUGCUUUUCAUCAAAUGCUGCUCAUCAAAUAUCAAGAAGAUUUUUGGUCAAUCAACAGAGGAAACCUGAGAUGGCGCAAAGAAACAGAAAAACCAUGAAAGGAGAGUUCAUUAGUCAAAAAAUAACAUAUGGAUUGUUAAUGAAAGGGCUAAUUAAUGUGAUUCAAAUUCCAAUCAAUUGGGGGGGAACUAUAUAUAAACAACAUUCCUCUUUAAUCCCUCAGAGGGGCAGGAAAUGGAAAUUCCACCAAAACAUCUUGGUUCUCUUGGGUUAUGGUAUGCUUCCUUUUAUGUUUCAUUACACACACACACACACACACACACACACACACACACACACACACACACACACAGCCGCCAGCUACAUAUUGAUGGCAUUGUCAUGACCAGAACAUGCCUGAUCAGACCUGGGCUAUGGCAGGGAUCCAGGUCUGACCGAGACUCAUCAAUCAUACAGAGGGUAAAGGACCUAAGAGACAUACACACAUGAAAAAAGCACACACACACACACACACGCACACACACACGCAUGGGAGAAAUAGCUGUUGCGGCUGGCUGCUGGGUCACAGGUGUGGAGACCAAGAAAGAAAGUGGGAAUUAUUCCCUUUUUUUCAUUUCUCUACCCCUUUAAAGAGAAACAGCUCACUCUCCCUGCCUCCCUCCCUCCCACGUCUUUGAAAACAUCCCAUUUCCAUCCAUAUUUCCUUCACCCAAUUUAAAACCCACACUUCAUUCGCCCCCUUAGCAUCACCACCCUUCUCCUCCUCCAUCUCCUACUCUCAAUUAGGCCAUGCCUCGAAUCUUAGGCAUUAUAUCUGGUGGCCAUUUAUAUAACAUGACUCCAAAACGCAUUUGCACAAUUUUCCAAUUACAGUAUUAUGCCUUGAAGCUUUGGUUCCUUCUGUCUCUCUCAUCCCCCCCCCCCUUUCACUCAAACUGCUUGUGAUGUUUAACACUACAAAAGAGUCACCCUGGCACAUAUAGACACACAUUUGUGCACAUUUUAAUAUUUGUGGGUAAUGGCCUCUCUUUUCUUUUUAUAUUGUUGAUGUUUAUGAAACUUUAUUUUCAUACUGUUUUUUUAAUAAUAAAUUUAAAUUUUAUAGCACAUUUCAAGGAUCAAAGGACGCUUUACAUAUAUGAAGGCAGAACAAAUAACACACGCACAUAAAAUAGUGGCAGCAGUGUUUGUCCAUAGGCCUUGGUGAACAGGUGGGUUUUUAAGAGUUUUUUAGGGAUUUCUGCUGGGAGAGAGUUCCAAAGGGUGGGGGCUGCCACACUGGUGGUGUGGGGAGUGGUGUUCAGAUCCAUGUCCGAGGACCAGAGAUUCCGGGACAGCAUAUAGGGGUGGAGGAAGUCUAAGUACUGGGGGGGAGGGUAUGGAGUUAUUUGUUGAUGAAGAGAAGCAUUUCGUAUGAGAUGCAGGAUUUGACCAAGGGGCCAGUGAAGGUGGAUGAGGGUGGGGGUGAUGUGCUGCCAGGGCUUGGUGCGACUGAGAACCCUGGCAGCUGAGUUCAGCACAUACUGGAGCCUGUCCAGGGAUUGGCUGGGUACCCGAGACAGGAAUCCAUUGCAAUAAUCCAAACGGGAGGUGAUGAAGGCAUGGAUAAGGGUCUCUGCCACAGAGUCUGUGAGUGAUCUCUGCAGUCUGGAGAUGUUUUUGAGAUGGUAGAAAGCAUAUUUGGUGUGACUGGAAUGAAAGGGUGGAUUCCAGAAUGACACCCAGGAUGUGGACUGGGGAGGGGCAGAUGGAGCAGCCAUUCACAUCGAGGAGGGGAUCUCCAACCUUCCGGAGCAGCACCUUGGAAGCCAAAACCAUGAGCUCUGUUUUGUUGCUGCUUAGUGUGACUAGGUUUUUAUGUUUUUAUGUUGUGCAGGCAGUUGACAAUGACUGAGGGGGGACCUGGGUUCAUGGUUUUGUGCUGAAGGUCAGCUGAGUGUCGUCGGCACAGCAGUGGAAGCUUAGGCCGCCGCCUUAUUGGCGGAUGAUCUAACCAAGUGAGAGCAUGUAGAUGGUAAAGAAGAGGGGUCCGAGCUCAGAGUCUUGGGGAAUGCCUUGGGGAAUGCUUUGGUUGACUGAUGCCAGGGUGGAACUGUAGUCUCUAGUGACAAAUUGUUUCCUGUUAAAAAGAUAUGUCUGGAACCAGGAGUGAGGCUUAGGUAGUCAGAUAAGCGGUUGAGGAGGAUGGUGUGGGAGACUGUUUCAAAGGCUGCAGAGAGGUCCUGGAGAAUGAGGAUACUGAUGUGGCCGGAGUAAGCAGCGAUGAGGAUGAUAGGGGUUUGUAGAGCUCAUGGUUGGACAUGUGCUGAUGGAUUUGGGCGGCAACUGCUCUUUCCAGGAUCUUACUAAGAAAAGGAAGGUUGGAGAUUGGCUGGUAAUUGGUGAGGUCAUUCAGGUUGAGACCUGGCACGAGGUGUCACGCCCAGUGACAGUCUGGUGUGUGUGUGUGUGUGUGUUUGUAUGCUUGCAGAGUGGUUGGUGUGUGUUUGUUUUCUGUCUGUUCACCCUCACUCUCCACAGUGUGUGGACACGCCCCUCCUGCUGUUCUCCCUCCGCACCUGACACCAGUUACUCAUCAGCGCACCUGCAACUCAUCUGCUCAUCAUCCACCUGCAAAGACCAGUCUGACUUUCCUCUUCCUGUCGGAUUGUUAGCUUACCUCCAUUCAGCCUUCCCUCGGACCCAGCACCUCCUCUGCCUACCCAGCUUUCUCCAGAACCAGUACCUACACCGUCUGCUCUGCCAACACCGGACUCACAACAACCACUGCCAGCCCCAGCCUGCUUCAGACCCAGAUCCUCACACUAACCAUUGACUUUAAUUAUUCAAUAAACAAAUUAUUUUUGCACCAGU